rnacentral:rRNA from 1 species
AUUGAACGCUGGCGGCAGGCCUAACACAUGCAAGUCGAGCGGAAACGAUCCUAGCUUGCUAGGAGGCGUCGAGCGGCGGACGGGUGAGUAACGCGUGAGAAUCUACCCAUGAGUGGGGGACAACCCGGGGAAACUCGGGCUAAUACCGCAUACGCCCUACGGGGUAAAGCAGGGGACCUUCGGGCCUUGCGCUGAUGGAUGAGCUCGCGUCGGAUUAGCUUGUUGGUGAGGUAAAGGCUCACCAAGGCGACGAUCCGUAGCUGGUCUGAGAGGAUGACCAGCCACACUGGAACUGAGACACGGUCCAGACUCCUACGGGAGGCAGCAGUGGGGAAUAUUGCACAAUGGGCGCAAGCCUGAUGCAGCCAUGCCGCGUGUGUGAAGAAGGCCUUCGGGUUGUAAAGCACUUUCAGCAGGGAGGAAGGCUUACCCCUAAUACGGGUGAGUACUUGACGUUACCUGCAGAAGAAGCACCGGCUAAUUUCGUG